UGAGGAAUAUUGGUCAAUGGGCGGGAGCCUGAACCAGCCAAGCCGCGUGAGGGAGGAAGGCCCUACGGGGUCGUAAACCUCUUUUGCCGGGGAACAAAAGCGGGUAUGCAUACCCGUCUGAGUGUACCCGGAGAAAAAGCAUCGGCUAACUCCGUGCC
rnacentral:rRNA from 1 species